UGCUGGCACAGGUACAUAAGGCAACACAAUGGCUACUGGCACAGGUACAGGGGGCAAUAUGAAUGGUAAGGUGGCAAAUGGUAAUGUAGGAGCAGGUGGGGGGGGCACUGACUGAAGCCCUUGCCUAGGGUGCCAAAAUACCCCGGCCCUGCUCUGAGUGAAUAAUGCUGCCGCUGAGUGGAUGAGACCAAGACAUCAUGGAUUGAGAGGCUGGAAGGAAGCACCCCUCUUACUGAUCAGUAGUACAGGCCGAACUGCGCACUGCCCAGCAGCAACCUGAUCCGGUCUGAGCAAUGACAGGGGGGUAUAGUAAUCAUCCUUCUCCUAAUGUGUAAUGACGCAGAACUAAAGCGUUUUGAACGCUAUUCUGCUUCCUAAACUUGCCACUAUAACGGAGCUGCAGAGAGAGGCUUUCACCUCAGAGAUCAAACCUUGCGCUUCCGGAAAUCAACGAGCUAUUCCGAAGUCGCUCUCCUGCCAAGCCGAGAUUUCGGCGUGUUUGUAUUUCCUUUGGCUGCCACCUAUCGGCAGAAUAGUGGGAUUGCAGCCCUACAGUCGGUGGCUGCGGGAGGAGCUUGUGCGUUCGCCGCUUCACUCGUUGUCUGCGGAAGCCGAGGCACCGGGGAGGAGGGGGGGGACAACAAAGGUGGAAUCUCUACCCACUGAGAAAUAUCAUCAUUCAACAACAAGAAAAAGUCCUGACUGGUGUAAAUGUUUAAUCAACCCCACUUGCUGAUGUAUGCCUGGGGAAGAAUAACCUGAAUAAACCAAAUAUGACGGUGGCCUACACUGAACAUCAAGCUGCUGUUGCCUGAACAUUACUCAAAGGUGUUGCCACCUCUUUUGGACCACAAUGGGAAAUAUCUGAAGGUGUGAUAAGUAUAUAGCAUGAAAGCAGGUUCAAGUUCUUUACAUUCUCAGGCCUGGACUUGUGGAAAGGCCGCCUAGGGCGGCAGGGUUUUAGGGGGGCGGCAUGCUGCCUAACCACACCCACAUUGGUUCAAAAACACUGGGGAUGCUCUGGAUAUACAAUCAUUUUUUAAUUUCCCAUGCACCAAUCCCCAUUGCUCCAGUCCAGAUGAUGAAAAUUUGCACAAAUAAAGGGGAAGGGACAGGGGCGACGAACGGCAGUGGGCCUAGGGGCUCCCACUAUGUAAAUCCGGCCCUGUACAUUCUACAAUGCAACUUCCGAAACACAUACCUGAGUCUUCUUAAAUGUUACCUUAAAUCUGAAGACCUCCACCAUUGCUGGUGCCGGUGCAAUAAAUCCAGCAAUAAAUUGGUGAUUAUACACGUCCUCAGCCUUAAUCGAGGCUAAACCUAUAUUGUUAUUACUUGCACCUAGAUAGAGAAGUUGCUGAACUUUACAAUUCAAAUAAUGCUGAAUACAGGGGAAACCGUUAUUCUAAUUAUUAUUAUUAUAGUAUAAUAUAUAAUUAAGAGUUGUUAAAUGCAGUAGUUCACAUGAAUUAUAAAGCAGUCAAGUGAGUUAUGUGCCAGGAAACGCUGCAGCCUUCUUAUAACUAAAUAACUGUUUGGCAUUCACAAAACUAUUUAUCCAGAGAAGUUGAAAGCAACAUACAACUACAGACAUAUUGUGAUUAAGCAAAUAGUAUCUUUACUUAUUUGUAGCUAUGAUACAUGCAGGAAAUGUUCACCUUUCCCUGCACAACCUGUGCCUCUAAUACUGGUUAUGUUGCACCUGCUUUAGACAGACAGGGGUGUGUCAACUGGAAACUGAAUGUAAAUUUCUGGGGGACCCAGAUGUAUAAAGGUCCUUCAUGUAAGGGGUCAGAUUCUGAACAGGCCCAAACUGGCCAUCUGUGGAUUCUGGAAAAUGCCAUAGGGCUGCUGUGAGAUGUCAUAAACAGUCACUAUUUAUUGGCUCCGUGGGGGAAUGUUUGGGCCUCUGUGUACUUGACAUGCCAGAGCCUUUUAUAAAUUCCAGUCAUGAUGAUGUUCAGCUUCAAUAAAUGUAUGGAAAACGGAUCAUCACAUAACUAACAACAGAUUUUCUGUUAUAUAAUUACAUAUAACUUAAUUAGUAUCCUUUUUGUAAUAACAUCUCUUUAUAUUUAUAUUUUUUAUUUUUAUUCCUUGUUUUACAAUUUCUAGAUCAGUGUUGUAUAACUUUUAUCCACUGUAGGGGUUGGCUAUACACUGGUUAAUAUAAACUACCGAUUUGGAACUCCCCACCAACCUUGUAGCUUACUAGCUACUAGAUAAAUAAUAAAAAGAACCAAUAACAAUAAAGCAUUCAUUUUUAGAUAGGGUCUGCGACUCCCAUUUGAAAGCUGAAAAGAGUCAGAAGGCGGCAAAUAAUUUAAAAACUAUAAAAAAGAAAAAAUGAAGGCCAGACUGCAUUAUUCCUUCUCUGCAAAUUGCUUUGAGAUUUAUCUCUUUCAAUAACAUUGAUUUCCGUUUACCUCCUGAAUAUUUGCUAACGUCAUAUGCUGGUAAAACAUUUUUAGACUUUCCUCUUUUGCUUGUGUGCUUUGAGACCAAUAUAUUGAAGCCUGCUUAAAGCUCGAUGUUUUAUCACCUUUGAAGAAUGUUUAGAAACAUAACAAGUAAUAUCAUGACCUGUUUACUACUGUCUAACUGCUGCAUGGCAUGGCCCUAUGAUUUUAUAUUAGCUCUACUGUAUGACUUGCAUAACUUGCCUAUCUACUCUAAACUACAUUUGUAAAAAAUGGAAAUAAAAAUGCCAAUGCUCAUGG